UUUUUAAAUAGGAUGUUUACUGAAAUGUUUCUUUUUUUAAUUUACAGUUGAUAGCCUACAGUGUCAACAGAAGUGAAAACGGAUCAAAGAAAUUGAAGUGGUCAGCCUCAGCCCCUCUGUGGGUGUGUUUAUUCUAAAGUGGCCAGCAUUAUUCACUGAAGCUCAGAUCAAGGAGGAGUUUAGACGCAUCACAACAUAUUCCUUGGAGGAGACAUUCACACGGAAGCUUGAUGAGUACUCACGAGGUCUUUUGCGGCUAAUGCGCGCCAAAGGAGAAGUAGCUGGUUGCAAGAUGUGUCCUCUGCUGGACACUUUAAAUGACACACAGAACAUUGAGAAACAUGAGAUGCUGUUGUCUGCUGCCUCAUUAAAGACAAGACUACCUUGGUGAAAAUCAAGAAGAUCUUUUCCAUUACUACCAGGAAUGUGAGGACUACACAGACAAAAACAUGAAGGUGAUUGUGAAGCACAAUGUCAUGGCUGAGGAGGAUCCAGAUUUGUCUAUUGUGAUCGAGGGAAACCAAGUAAUGGAAUCACAGAGUUUAGAUACAACAAAAUGUGAUUGGACUUCUUCCAGUACUGCUCUGAUCUCCUCGCUUCUAGUUUCAUUUUCUACUCUCUCCUCCUCCUAAAACAGCAAUGUUUUAUUAUCCAACAUUAUUGAAACAACAUUUGAUAGUCCAGUGAGUUAACAUGUUCAUUACUUGAAAUGUU